CAUCAUCAAAUGAGAGUGACAGGUGAAACCGUUUCAAGACAAUGGCAGGAAAAGCAUGCUGAAGAUUGAAUCAAACCUUGGCUGGAAAUAUUUGAAGGGAUCUAGCCAGUCCACAAUGAAAGCUUCGUUGCCCCCCUGUGAGUCUUCUGGCAGAAAUGAUGGCGCCUGUAUUCUUUGGUUUCCCUAAACAUCACAUCGUGUUUAUACGAGGCUCUUCAAUUAAGUCUGCACCCAAAGAUUCAAUAAGAGAGGGGAUCCUGCCAGUCCAAAGUGAACUCCUGAUGGACAUUGAAGUACUCCUGCAGAGCUUGUAUCUUCGACACCAUGCGCAUUAGAAACUCCACUGAGUGCUUUCCUUCACCAAGGCAGGACCCAGUGACUCAUUACUGUUGAUCGGUCAGGGGCAGGUCAUUUUUUUGUUUCAUGUUUAUUAAUUUCUCCAUGGAUUACCAGCCAUAUAUAUGGAAACAUGCUGUAUUCUCAAGAUCUAUGCUGUUUGGUAGGAAUAGAGAAAAUGAUAUGUUUAGUCUGUUUUCAAAUGGUAUGUCAAAUUUUCUCAUUGUUUAUCAGUAAUAUUCACUACGUUGGUUAUAUAUGAGCAUCUUUAGAUUUUUCUAUAUUUAGCGGUUGCAAAUGUAAAAUGUACGGUAAACUAUUUAUGUUCCUCAUAUUGUACUGUAUUUUUAGCAGUAAAAUACCGGCAGCUGUGGUUGCCAGGAAUUUACCGUAAAAUGUAUCUGGUCAAAAUAAAAUGCUGUAAUUUGUUAUACAA